ACUAAGCGUACACGGUGGAUGCCCUGGCAGUCAGAGGCGAUGAAGGGCGUGCUAAUCUGCGAUAAGCGCCGGUAAGGUGAUAUGAACCGUUAUAACCGGCGAUACCCGAAUGGGGAAACCCAGUGUGAUUCGUCACACUAUCAUUAACUGAAUCCAUAGGUUAAUGAGGCGAACCGGGGGAACUGAAACAUCUAAGUACCCCGAGGAAAAGAAAUCAACCGAGAUUCCCCCAGUAGCGGCGAGCGAACGGGGAGGAGCCCAGAGCCUGAAUCAGCAUGUGUGUUAGUGGAAGCGUCUGGAAAGGCGCGCGAUACAGGGUGACAGCCCCGUACACAAAAGCGCAUGUGCUGUGAGCUCGAUGAGUAGGGCGGGACACGUGGUAUCCUGUCUGAAUAUGGGGGGACCAUCCUCCAAGGCUAAAUACUCCUGACUGACCGAUAGUGAACCAGUACCGUGAGGGAAAGGCGAAAAGAACCCCGGCGAGGGGAGUGAAAAAGAACCUGAAACCGUGUACGUACAAGCAGUGGGAGCCCCACCACCAAAGCGUUUCGCUUUGUGUGGUGCACAAAGAAGCGUAACGACAGCACUGAAUGACGGUUAACGGAGCGCAAGCGACGUUCAACAUACAAAGUCAAGCAGUGGAGCGCUUUGGGGUGGGGUGACUGCGUACCUUUUGUAUAAUGGGUCAGCGACUUAUAUUCUGUAGCAAGGUUAACCGAAUAGGGGAGCCGGAGGGAAACCGAGUCUUAACCGGGCGUUAAGUUGCAGGGUAUAGACCCGAAACCCGGUGAUCUAGCCAUGGGCAGGUUGAAGGUUGGGUAACACUAACUGGAGGACCGAACCGACUAAUGUUGAAAAAUUAGCGGAUGACCUGUGGCUGGGGGUGAAAGGCCAAUCAAACCGGGAGAUAGCUGGUUCUCCCCGAAAGCUAUUUAGGUAGCGCCUCGUGAAUUCAUCUCCGGGGGUAGAGCACUGUUUCGGCUAGGGGGCCAUCCCGGCUUACCAACCCGAUGCAAACUGCGAAUACCGGAGAAUGUUAUCACGGGAGACACACGGCGGGUGCUAACGUCCGUCGUGAAGAGGGAAACAACCCAGACCGCCAGCUAAGGUCCCAAAGUCAUGGUUAAGUGGGAAACGAUGUGGGAAGGCCCAGACAGCCAGGAUGUUGGCUUAGAAGCAGCCAUCAUUUAAAGAAAGCGUAAUAGCUCACUGGUCGAGUCGGCCUGCGCGGAAGAUGUAACGGGGCUAAACCAUGCACCGAAGCUGCGGCAGCGACGCUUAUGCGUUGUUGGGUAGGGGAGCGUUCUGUAAGCCUGUGAAGGUGGCCUGUGAGGGUUGCUGGAGGUAUCAGAAGUGCGAAUGCUGACAUAAGUAACGAUAAAGCGGGUGAAAAGCCCGCUCGCCGGAAGACCAAGGGUUCCUGUCCAACGUUAAUCGGGGCAGGGUGAGUCGACCCCUAAGGCGAGGCCGAAAGGCGUAGUCGAUGGGAAACGGGUUAAUAUUCCCGUACUUGGUGUUACUGCGAAGGGGGGACGGAGAAGGCUAUGUUGGCCGGGCGACGGUUGUCCCGGUUUAAGCGUGUAGGUGUGUGUUCCAGGUAAAUCCGGUUCACUUUAACACUGAGGCGUGACGACGAGGCACUACGGUGCUGAAGCAACAAAUGCCCUGCUUCCAGGAAAAGCCUCUAAGCAUCAGGUAACAUCAAAUCGUACCCCAAACCGACACAGGUGGUCAGGUAGAGAAUACCAAGGCGCUUGAGAGAACUCGGGUGAAGGAACUAGGCAAAAUGGUGCCGUAACUUCGGGAGAAGGCACGCUGANNNNNNNNNNNUCAGUCGAAGAUACCAGCUGGCUGCAACUGUUUAUUAAAAACACAGCACUGUGCAAACACGAAAGUGGACGUAUACGGUGUGACGCCUGCCCGGUGCCGGAAGGUUAAUUGAUGGGGUCAGCGCAAGCGAAGCUCCUGAUCGAAGCCCCGGUAAACGGCGGCCGUAACUAUAACGGUCCUAAGGUAGCGAAAUUCCUUGUCGGGUAAGUUCCGACCUGCACGAAUGGCGUAAUGAUGGCCAGGCUGUCUCCACCCGAGACUCAGUGAAAUUGAACUCGCUGUGAAGAUGCAGUGUACCCGCGGCAAGACGGAAAGACCCCGUGAACCUUUACUAUAGCUUGACACUGAACAUUGAGCCUUGAUGUGUAGGAUAGGUGGGAGGCUUUGAAGCGUGGACGCCAGUCUGCGUGGAGCCGACCUUGAAAUACCACCCUUUAAUGUUUGAUGUUCUAACGUGGACCCGUUACCCGGGUUGCGGACAGUGUCUGGUGGGUAGUUUGACUGGGGCGGUCUCCUCCUAAAGAGUAACGGAGGAGCACGAAGGUUGGCUAAUCCUGGUCGGACAUCAGGAGGUUAGUGCAAUGGCAUAAGCCAGCUUGACUGCGAGCGUGACGGCGCGAGCAGGUGCGAAAGCAGGUCAUAGUGAUCCGGUGGUUCUGAAUGGAAGGGCCAUCGCUCAACGGAUAAAAGGUACUCCGGGGAUAACAGGCUGAUACCGCCCAAGAGUUCAUAUCGACGGCGGUGUUUGGCACCUCGAUGUCGGCUCAUCACAUCCUGGGGCUGAAGUAGGUCCCAAGGGUAUGGCUGUUCGCCAUUUAAAGUGGUACGCGAGCUGGGUUUAGAACGUCGUGAGACAGUUCGGUCCCUAUCUGCCGUGGGCGCUGGAGAACUGAGGGGGGCUGCUCCUAGUACGAGAGGACCGGAGUGGACGCAUCACUGGUGUUCGGGUUGUCAUGCCAAUGGCACUGCCCGGUAGCUAAAUGCGGAAGAGAUAAGUGCUGAAAGCAUCUAAGCACGAAACUUGCCCCGAGAUGAGUUCUCCCUGAGACUUNGUCUCCUGAAGGAACGUUGAAGACGACGACGUUGAUAGGCCGGGUGUGUAAGCGCAGCGAUGCGUUGAGCUAACCGGUACUAAUGAACCGUGAGGCUUAACC
rnacentral:rRNA from 1 species